AAGCUUCUCAUCGAUAAAGGAGCCAAUACUGUCAUUAAAAAUAAUGCGAAUCAGACGCCUCUUCAAGUAGCUGUUAACAAUGAUCACAAUGAAGUCGUCAGACUUUUUAUCGGUAAAGGAAACAAAAUUAAUAUUGCAGAGCAUUUUGAAUAGAUUCAAUUGUCUACUAACAAUGGUGACGAAUAGCUGAACCAAUUUAGCUGAGUAAUCGGAUGAUUUCCUUCUCAUUUUCGAUUGUAGUGUAGAAUUAAUUUCAAAACAUUUUUUUGUCAUUCUAUGACCAUACCAACCA